rnacentral:tRNA from 1 species
GGGGCUAUAGCUCAUAUGGAAGAGCACUUGCAUGGCAUGCAAGUGGUAAGGGGUUCAAAUCCCCUUAGCUCCA